GUGUACGAGAACGUAGACUGCGAGCAAUCCCUCUAUUUUCCUUCGUUUUAUUGUUUCCCGGACUAAGACUGAACGCGCGGGAGUCCGGGAAACAAUAAAACGAAGGGAAAUAGAGGGAUUGCUCGCAGUCUAACGAGAACGU
rnacentral:miRNA from 1 species